rnacentral:misc_RNA from 1 species
AGAACAGAAAUUCUGCAGAAAAAUCUGCAGUUUUAUUUUUUUUUGGCAGAACUGAAGUUCUGCGAAAAAAAAAUCUGCAAUUCUUUUUUUUUUUAGUACUCAAAAGGCAAAUCUGAAUUUUUUUUGCAGAAAAAAAUCUGUAGUUUUUUUUUUAUUGGAAACAAGAGACAAAAGGAAAGGAAGGAAGAAAACAAAAUUCAGAUUAAGAAUUAUUGAAGAAAACGCAAGACAUAAAGAAAUAAGGAAAUCGAUGAACAAGU